GUGGCCUUGCACAUAGCACCUCAAACAAAACCACACCGAAUGAAUAAACAUCAGAUUUCUCUGUCAGGUGUUGCCUACGGUAGUACUCUGGAUCCACAUAUCCAAAGCUACCUCUAACUCCAGUGCUAACAUGGGUUUGGGAUGUACUAGUGGGACCUAAUCUGGACAGCCCAAAAUCUGAAACCUUAGCCACCCAAUUCUCAUCUAACAAUAUGUUUGUUGACUUCACAUCACGGUGAAUGAUUGUGUGCUUUGCUCCUGAAUGAAGAUAAUGCAACCCUUUAGCAGCACCGAUGCAUAUUUCUAGCCUUUGCUUCCAUGGAAGAGGAGAGUUCUUUGUUUUGUAUAGAUGUUCUCUAAGAGUGCCUCUUGACAUGUAAUCGUAUACAAGGAUCAUCUCGCCAUGAUCAUCACAGUAUCCAAUCAGUGACACUAGAUGAAGGUGGCGCAGAUUGGAUAACAUCUCAAUCUCUGUCUGGAACUCACGUGUCCCUUGCUUUGAUGAUGAAUCUAGUCGUUUGAUGGCUACUGCGAUGAAACCGUAUUCAAUGUAUCCUUUAUACACAGUACCAAAUCCCCCUGAACCAAUAAUAUUUUGAUCAUCAAAGUUUCCUGUUGCUUCGUUGAUUUCGAAAAAUGUAAACCGUCGGCAAAGAUCAGUAGGUAGUGAUGAAGAGAUUGUAGUCGUGGACCUAGAUGUUUGUGAUAUUAUAGUACAGGAGGAUUUUUCCUCACUCUUGCUAGGGUCCUCGACUCGCUUCUGCUUGAAAGCAAAGAAAUAAAGAAUAAGAGAGCAAGCAAAUACUGCACCUAUGGAACCUCCAACGAUGGCUAUAACCGUAAGUAUUGAUGAUCUUUUGCCCGUUCUUCUGUCUUGUAGACUUGGAUGUUGUUCUGCUGGUGGAGGAGCCACUGUUGGCUCAGGGUUGAAUCCUGCAAGAUUUCCGCCUGUUCUAUUCAGCUUGAAUAUUUCCAAGCCAUUCAAGAUUGCAUCAGCGUAAGUAGGUUUCAGUUCCAUGUUAGGGUGUAGUUCGAGCCACAAGCCCUGCUUGCUCUGGCUCCCUGGAGGGACCCGCACCAUGUAGUCUUUGUAAACUGGAAUGCCGUUGCCACCGCUCAUAUGGAUCACAUCUGCAUCAUCCUGUGCUGUUUGAUUGUUGAUGAAUAUUAAAAAUACCUGUUGAUUUUCAUUUUUGAACUCCAUUCGAGUCUCACAAAAGUGGAGCCUAAGGAGAUAAAGGAAACCAGCAUCAACUGGGAAGAUCCAUGUGAGAUUGUAAUUCAUGUUAAGACGUGGUUCAGGACCCAUAGAACGCAUAGUACUAUAUACCAUAACAGGUGCCGAGUAAGCUGGCGUUUUGGUUGUGUACUUUAUCAUAACGCCUGGGAGAUAUGGAAUGUUUCCAGCUUGUCUAAAGAGAUACUCUGAAUCUUGAUGCCAUGUCCUGUACAUUCCAGUGUCUCCAGUGCUGCUGAUAUCUUGCCCCCCAACAUUCAGUCGAUAAACUGUCUCAAGCGCAGUUGUGUUAUACAGAAAGGUGUGGACAUCGGGGCCCACAUAGGUCAGUGGAUUAUCAUCGCCACGAGCAUAGAAGCUGUCUGGCAUGGAAACGAUUUCGAUACCAUUAAUGAAGGCAAAAGAUGCUGGAGACGGAAUGAAGGUUAAUUCAAGCUUCUGGUUGUCCCACACGGUGAUGAUGAACUCUUUGGUGAAGUAGUCAACUGGAGGUCUUAUAGCAGAAAUUAACUGUAAGAGAGGCACUAAAGUUGUUUAGUAGCUUGUAGUUGUUGGCACUAAGCGAAAAAUAGGAUUUGGAUAUGUCAAGAUUUGAGUAAGAAGCUGGAUAAAAGUAGAGACGCACAAAUUUUGGGCCAGGCAAGACUGGAAAUGUGUAAGUGAAUUUAGAGUGAAAAAUACGGGCUGUCAUGUAUGGGACUUGGUCGACAGAGGGGUCUUGAGUGGAGGCUUCAAACACAGAUGAGGCUUCUGGGGGGUUAGAGGCAGCAAACUUAGACUGGGAAUCACCAUCCCAGCUGCGACCAUCUGGAGAUGACAAAUUAGAGGAUGCACCACAGUUAAGGAGUAUUAGAUCAGUGGGGCUGUAUGGCAGCAAGUAAUCUUCAGUAGCAGUACCAUAGAGGAAGAGAUGGAGGGGAGGGAGAAGGUAGAGAAAGAUGAAGAUGGACAUUACUAUGCUAGUUCUUUGGUGGAGUAAAUUGGAGUAAGAAAAAAUAUCUAUUAAAUGCAAAGAUUUUGAUUUAAGGGAAGAUAAUCAAUGGUGUCGCUGUCUCCAUACAGUAACAUUUUUGCUCAGGUUGAGAAUAAUCCAAUAAUAUAUUUGAGACCCGUCGGAGAAGAAAAUUCGACGAUAUGGCUAAUGGGACAUAUUGGUCAGCUUUGGAUGGCUGCUUCCCGUUGUGUGGUUCUGAAUUCCGCAAUAAAGCCGCAAUGAACAAUCUAAUUUCAACAAAGGAUCGACCUAUUCCUUUUUGGUUCAUGAGUGUGCCUUUUUGGGCUGAGCUUAUAACCAAAAAUCUUCUCAUCUGGUAUAGUAAUCGCUUACUGCAAAACUUGGUGGUAAUGAGAAAUCUUUCUUCCCCUUAAUCGAAGAAUAAUGGAUUUACCUCUUGAUAUAUCUGGGACAUAUUUGGUAUCUAUUAGAAAAUAAUAUAAAUUAUAUAUUGAAAUUUUAUUUAAAAAUUUAAGUAAUUGGGUUGAGAUGGUUCUUUGAUAUGAUAUCAGAGUCUUAAUGACAAAACAUGCAUGAGAUUAAAUCUCAUCAUUCUCAUCUAUUUGAUAAAAAUUAAGCACAAGGUAAUGUGAGCCUAUGCAAGUUUAAAGCUCAAAAGACUUUCACUUGAAAGAGUGUGUUAGAGAAUAAUAUAAAUUAUAUCUUGAAACCUCACCUAAAAAUUUAAGCUAUUGGAUUGAGAUAGUUAUUUAACAGUACAUAAUAAAAUCAAUAGCAACAGUGAAGAAGAGGCAAGCUGUCCUCUCUUCCCUGGAGAUGGUAAUUUGCUCUCUCUCAUCCUGUUAAGCUUGAUUUCCAUACAUGAGGGGAAACUGAAUGGAGUUCUCGGUGGAUGAAAAAUAAUUGGAAUAAUAAAUGAAAUGAAAUUGAGUUUCAUUGUUGAAAAAAUCAUGCUGAAAUCACUUCAAUCCUAAGGAAAAUACAAGUCUUCUACAAUGAUCAGGUCUAGCAAAUGUUCUUAUCUUGUACAAACACGACACCUAAUGCAAACCUGUGAACAUUCCAAGAUCUUUUUUUAAACUUCAUUGCUUGCAAUAGAUCAAGGAAGCUUCGCCAUUAAUUAGUGCACGAGAAAGACAAUCACUAGAUAUCGUAUCAACAUAGCAAUUGCUUGCUAUUUUCUUCAAUUAUAAAUCAUUAUAAAGUAUAUACAAAUUUUAUUGUUAUUGUUGGGAUAUUGCCAUUAUUGGGCAACAUGUGCAGCCUACCCUAUAAAGAGUAGGGUUACCAUUUGUCAAUGGUAGUUGCACCCACCAUUGAUAAAUGUAUCAACCCAUGUGCAACUGUUGUUGUUGAAGAAGAACAACCACCAUCCUUGCCUAUAAAUAGACAACAAGAGAGCAGAACAAUUGAGAGAGGGAUUGUGAGAAUGUAGAGAGUGUGAAGAGAGAAAGAAAGAGAAGGGCUGCCACCAGCAGCCCUGCUGCCUUAUGCAGCAAUGAGAGAUGAGAGUUGAGUGGAUGUGAUCCUCCUCCAUGUGUUGUAUUCUUUCUCUAUCUCUAAAUAAAAUGAACCUCUCCCAUGGAUGUAGGCGGUUUUGCCGAACCACGUUAAAUAUUGUGUCAGUGUGCUUGCCCUCCGUUGAGCAAAGAUCAGUACAUCACUGGUCGGAUUUCCCAACAAUUGGUAUCAGAGCUGAUGGUUUAAAGUGGUGUUUGAUUUUUGCUCAAAAAAUGAAAGUUGUCAAAAUUGUGUUUUGACCAUACCACCGUGUAGAGGAGGAAGAGACGAAGCCACUGUUGAAAACUGCGUUGAAAUCGGACGUCGGACAUGGCCGCACGUGCCGUCACGCGCCAGCGUCACACGUGUCUUCUUCGCCCGGAUGGGCUGACCCGACCCGAAUACCAGACGACCCGACCCACGUGGCUGACUCGGAUAAGGAUGACAUCAGUAUGCCGUAAUUAUGACGUCAUCAUGCACAGUAGCAUGGCCCAGGAUGACAUCAACAUGAUGUAAUGGUGGCGUCAUCAUGCACAGUUAGCACAUUGGACCCACUAACACGUCAUCAGCCGUGAGCCGAGCUGAUCCGAGCGGCGAGCCGAGGGAUAGGAUUCUGUGCAGCUGAGUCUAUGUGCAAUCGGAUCUGAGAUUGAAUCUGAGCCGUUGAUCAAGCCAGAAUUGUUUUGAUCAAAGCUUAGCCGUCUGAAGUGCGAUUUGGACGAUUCAAGACAUGUUUCCAGCUAAUUUGAUCAUUCCAGAUGCAAUGGUACGGUCCGAUCAUUGAGAUUUGAGACCGAAAAUGGCGGUGGUGAAUUAUUAAAGAGAGAUUGCCCGAUCAGGAGGCAUCUGAGGGUCUUGAUGGAGGUCGAUGAAGAUGAUGAAGAAGAAGGUGCACAUGUUUUCCCAAUUAUAUGUGUUGAACUAUUAAAUGGGAAAAUGUAAUGCCUUGAUGGAAGGCAAAAUUAGGACACUCUGGACACCCAGUUAUGUGGACAAUUAGAGGUGGAGAGUGAAAAUUGACGAAGACCAAUCUUGACGAAUCUAAGCACUGGUAGUCUCGCUAGAUGUUGAGAAAUCAGGUAUAAAACCAAGAUACCCAGAUCACUUGUAAAGGAAAGCCGCAACAAAGCUAGCAAAUGGUUGUAUAUACGGAAAGACAGUACGAUGGAUAGAUAUGGCCUAAGAAGUUAUGUCUAGGAGAUUAGGUUUUAAGUGGGACCGUUGUGACCCCUCCAAUCUUUCCUGGGAACUUGCUUAGUGGAAGGAUUAUCCAUAUGGUACUAUUUUCGUAUAUGUAACAGUUUGUAAUGAAAUUUUUGAAGACUAGCAGGAUGACGCCACAAGGGGAACAAUUGGGUUCCGUAUGAUCAAGGAUCUGAUGGAGUAGUGAUUUCUUCAAAGAAGCUAGAUUCGGUGACUGUGAUUUCUCGAGGGGAGAAUUGAUGAAGACCCUGAUAAUGGAAGAGAAAUACAGCAAGGGGAUAAAGAUUGGCACCCUAUUUUGACUUGGACAAGUGUUGUGACAGGAUCAGCUGCUAUCAAACAUAAGCAAGGAAUAUGGAGAAAUCUGGAGAACAGAAAUUGCACGAGAGCACACGAAGAUUAUGCAGGAGUACCCGUAGGAUCCAACGAGGUACUGUAAUGAGAAGUUUAUUAUGUUGUUGUUGAAGAAGAACAACCACCAUCUUUGCCUAUAAAUAGACAACAAGAGAGUAGAACAAUUGAGAGAGGGAUUGUGAGAAUGUAGAGAGUGUGAAGAGAGAAAGAAAGAGAAGGGUUGCCACCAGCAGCCCUGCUGCCUUAUGCAGCUGCUGCCCAAUGCAGCUGCUGCCCUAUGCAGCAAUGAGAGAUGGGAGUUGAGUGGAUGUGAUCCUCCUCCAUGUGUUGUAUUCUUUCUCUAUCUCUAAAUAAAAUGAACCUCUCCCAUGGAUGUAGGUGAUUUUACCGAACCAUGUUAAAUAUUGUGUUAGUGUGCUUGCCUUCCGUUGAGCAAAGAUCAGUACAUCAUCGGUCGAAUUUCCCAACAGUUAUACUCAUCAAAAACAUGAGUAAAAAGAAAGAAGAAGGGUUCAGACAGUCACCCUACACGUAGAGCAAACUGAUCCACCCAUCUUGGUGGAGCUCACAUAGACGGAUUGGGUCACCUUGCGCUUUAUAGGUCGCUGUUGAAAUCGAAACCCACGCAGACAGAUAAAGAACCGACCCCUUUGUCCCCUCUUCCUCGAUCAACUACCAUGUUUGCAUCGAUUGUAGCAAGUGCAAGGCCGAGAGUUACCAUUGAUCGGUUUUGCACAGUUGCCAUAUAUUUGUGCAUUGCAAAUUGGUUGUCGUUCUAAACUCUUAGGCCAUGUUUGUUUCCUAAAAAGUAGUUUUUGGGAAAUAAUUUUCCAGACUUUCUUAUGUUUGUUUACUAUUAGAAAAGUUGGUCAAAUGAAAACACUUUCCGGUCAACGGAAAACACUUUUUAGUCAAAGAAAAUUUUAGCUUGGUUUUCAGGAAAGUGUUUUCCAUUUUAGCGGUGUUUAUUUUCUGAAAAGUGGUUUCCAGGAAAUCACUUUCCAAACUUUCUUGUGUUUGUUUGCCAUUAGAAACGUUGGUCAACAGAAAAUACUUUCCAGUGAAAGGAAAAUUUGACUUGGUUUUCAGGAAAGUGUCUUCGUGGAAAAUUUGGGCGGAAAACACGUUCCGAAAGUUGUGAAAAAUUUAGAAAUGUCAUUAUUUGCUGAUUAUAUCAAAUUUGAUCCUUAAACUUUUGAUUGCUAUAUAUAUUUUGUUUUGAAUAUUUAUUUUUCAAUUUCAUCUCUUAAAAUUUUUAUUUUAUAUUAACUUUGGUCCUUAUUUUUAUAAUUGCUAUUUUCUUUUUCCUUAUCAUUUUUUUAUUGAAAUUUUUUAUCUAUCAAAUUUGGUCCUCAUUCUUUUGAUUGUUACUUAAUUUUUUAGAUUUGAUCGAUAUUAUUUUGAUUAUUAUUUAUUUUAUUUGAGAUAAUUUAUGAAAUUAUAUUUAUUUUUUCAAUUUCAUUCAACUUUUUAAUUUAUAAGAUUUGUUCCUCGUUAUUUUAAUAAACUUGAGAAAAAUAAAAUAUUAAUAAGUUAUUUUCCAACUCAUUUUCCAUGACAUAACCAAACACUGGAAAAUGUUUUCCAACUUAUUUUCCAUUACACUACCAAAUAUCGGAAAAUACUUUCUCGGAAUUCACUUUCCGAAAAGAAACUACUUUCCAACAAACAAACGGGCCUUAUAGUUAAUAUAGUUACCUUGAGAGGCCAGUAGUCUCUGAUGCACUUCAGAUUCCAUAGAGAACUCCUCUUCAUUACCUUCACCGAUUGUGGCAUUGAAAAUUGGACUCGAGUUUGCUUUCAAGAAAGGCAGCUGCAGAAGCAGAUGUGAUCACCAAAACAAGCAGGAUAGUUAAAGAGAGCCACCAGAGGAAUUCAAUACUUACGUUAGGCCUCGUCUCUUUCUGUCUGUACCCUUCUGUUACAGAGUUUGAAGAGCACUAAAUAAACGUCACUGCGAAGAAUGCUUCGAACUCUGGAUAUGGAGUGAAAGGCUAGCUUUUUUCCAUUGACUUGCUUUUUUUGUGAAGACUUAGGUCUUCACAUGAAUGUGAUUUUGAUGUUUUAUACUAUCUUAAUCUAAUAAUUUAAAUUAUUAGAUAAAAUUAUAAAAUAUGAUAUAUAUUGUUCAAGAAUAUUUGACAAAACAUCCAGCCACUUAUAUAUAUAUAUAUAUAUAUAUAUAUAAGAUCAGGACCAUAAUCUGGAUUUUCGUUAGUGAAUUCAUCCUCAUCGGAACUUGAUAUUUCAUAUAAGGCUUCUUGGAGUUUUUUCUUGUAUUCUGACGUUGAGCUUGAUGAUGCAAGGUUUUCUUGAAUUCAACUUUUAGAGGUGAGAAACGUAAAUUGCCUUCUUGAGAUAGAGUUGAUGGGUAUGCUUGCAGCUAUGGAAUUUGAUGUGAUGAGAUUAUUGCCAAGCAUGCACAAUUUCAGAACAAGCUUGAGCUUCUCUGAAUUUGGGUCCACCAUUUGACUUUGAUUUUUCUCAUGAGAUCUAAAGAGUAACCAAUAUCUUUAUUUACAUCAUUCAUUAUAAUGGAGUCCCAAGAUAGCAUGAGACACCAAAGGUUGAGAUGAAAUAAAAAGAGGUAGGAAUUGAAUUCAAAGGUAUUUUUACUGUAAGCAAUUCCAAUCCUUUGUAUGAUUUUUUAGGGAGAAUCUCACUUAUUGAAGAAAAAUAUUGCCAUCAAUUGUUUGACAACUAAGUUGGAAAAUUCUUUGGAAAUGUUUUGAGAAAAUCUUUCAAGGUGCAGGGUUUUGAUUCAUCUCUUGAAAGGUUAAAACCUUUUGAAUUUUUAUUUUUGAAAAAACAAGAUUGUUUACAUCUUGAUUAUGAGUUAUUUCAACAAAGUCAAUAUCAACCAAAAUAAACUCAUAGAAUUGUUUUGUUUUCAACAUAUUUUCUAAAAUAACUUGAAAAUAAUAGCUUCUUGACUUGAAAGGCUUAAAGCUUUUUUUAGGAAAAAUUUGGAGGGUAAUUAACACAAGUGAAAGUACAAGCAAUGGGACAAUAGCGAGAAAAAGAAAAUUAAUAGUUGAAAUAGAGUAGAGCACAUGAAUUCUAAUUUAUAGUUUUAUUGAUGAAGAGAAAAAUUCACUAUUUCUUUUGCCUCUUUAUGAUGUUUUCAACUUUUUAAAUAAGCUAAAAAAAUCAAACUAAUCAAACUAGAAAACCCUAAAAUAAAGAAAAAAAAUAUUAAAAUUCCUAAACAAACUUAGAGAAAUAAAAUUACUAUUCUCAAUAUUUAAUUUCCUAAACUAAAUAGAAAAAAUAAAAUCACCGAAAAUAUUUUCCUAAACUACAUAGAAAAUAAUAAUAACUAAGAAAUUUUAAUUUCAUAAAAACCCUUGGCAUCAACAAUAAUGUUGUAAAAGGUGUAUUAAUUUUGGGAUUGAACAAACAAGGGAGUUUGGAGAGAUUAAGAAUAAUUUAUAGGUGAGGUGUUUGGACUAGAUCAUGCUGAUGAAAGGAUUCAAAAUUGAUUAUUUAAGACACUAGCCCCAAGGAGGUCAAACCCUCCCUGAAAUAAAUUAAUAUCUUGAAUGCUUGAUGUUGUGGUUUGAAUUGGUCUUGAUGGUGUAAGAGCAUAUGAUUAUUUUGACUUAUUUUGAGCCUAGUAAAGACUCUUUGGAUAAAAGACUCUUUUACUUCUUUCAUUAAUUCAAUCUCCAAAUCAUAUUUUAAUAAAUUAUCUUGUUACCUGGCAAAACUUUGUUUUGACACAAUAUUUUGAAUAUUUUUUUCAACAACUUAUUUUACAUAUUGACAAUUUAUUUGUAAAAGAAAUUUCUGGAAAAUAAAUCAUCUUGAAAAUAUUAGAUGUAUAAAAUAAUUAAUAAAAUUUUCUUUUUGAUAGUUGAAUAAUUUUCUUGAGGAUCCAACCAAAUACCUAAAUGAUAUUGCACUAUAUGUUAUUGACUUUGAAAAUUUUGUUUGAGAAUACCACUGUAACUAAUAUCAAAGGCAUCGGUUUCAACUAUAAAAAAGGCCUCUAGAUCAUAAAGUCUUAAACAUGAAAACUCUUGACUUGACUUUUAAGAGUAUUCACAAUUUUGAUCAUUUGAUGAUUGAUUUUAGACAGGAGGGUUUUUCUUAAGUCUUUUGUACAAAGGUUGACAUAUAGUUCUAUGAUUUGGAAAAAUAUCUAAAACAUAAUCGAGGCAUCCCAUAAACUUUUAAAGCUAGGUUUUACCCUUGAUCUUAUUUAUGAAUUUAAUGGUAAAUUUUAUUAUAGUGACAAGGGUUAUUGAUAAAUUAUAAUUUUUAAGGUUGAGAAAACUAAUCUAUUUUGUUUGAUAAUAUUAAGAAACGUUUGUAAGUUGUUGAAAUGUUUGGUUAUUAGUUUUAAAAAUAAAAGAACAUCAUCUAUGUAUAUAAUCAUAAUUUUGAAUAUAGAUUAAAGAUGUCAUUCAUGAUGCUCUGAAGUUUUGAAGGAGUAAUUUUUAGUUCGAAAGACAUUAUAUCUCAUUUGUAAUGACCAAAUGAAAUAAUGAAUGUUGUUUUAUAAUGAUUUUUUUAAUCAAUUUAGACUUGUUAGAAUCUUGAUUUCAUAUCAAUUUUUGAAUAUAUUGAAGAAUUUUAAAGUCUUCUGAUAAGAUCUCUCUUAUUGUGUAUUGGAUAUCUAAUAUAUUGGAGCACUUUGUUGAGAGGCUUGUGAUUUAUGACAUGUAUUAGUGCAUGAUUAGUACUUAAAAGUGUAUUUUAUCAAUGUUUUAUAUUAUCAUUUUGUACUUGAAGUAUCAAUAACUCCUUAACUAGAGCAUGUUUUAUAAUAACAAGUCUGAUAAUAUAAGAUAACUUUAAUUUAUGGUAAAUGCUCAUUUUAAAUACAGACAUAUCUCACAAUUCAAAGGAUUGAUUGCUGUGAUUAACUAUUGAAAGUGAAAAGACAAAGAAAAGGCUAAGCUUAGAAAGGAGAUGCAGAUUCAAUUCAAAUUGGAACACUGUUAAGUUAUUGGGUCAUAUCUGGAGCUACAGUUCUUGGAUUUCAGUUUGGUUUAUAUGGCUAGAAAAAUAAGAAAUAGGCUUACAAUGUUCAUGAAUAGUGAAAGACCCAAAUCUUCCGUUUUCAAAUUCAAAGUUUGGCCACAAAAGAGAAGUCAGAAUCUGUCAUACAAUCCAGCCCAAACACUUCUCAUACUUUUACCCAUAGCUGGAGUUUUAAAAGGAAAAAUGAUGUCAAAUUUGGUGGCUAGAAGGAUAAGACAAUUUCCAAAAACUUUCAUGAAGACGACCUGCUCCAAUUCUGAUGUUAGAAAUGACAUUUCAUCCAGACAAGAGCUUGAGGGCUGUCCAUUACGUCCACCAGAAGCACUACUCAAUAUUUUAGCCAUAUCUCAAUCUCUAGUGAUCCAAAUGCUCUAAAAUUUUAUGGAUGGAAAGAUGAGAUGAUUGCAGACAACUUUUAUGAAGAACACUUUGCCAAAUGUUGAUUGAAUCAAUGUCAUUUCAUCCAGCCAAAAUGCUUAAGUGUUAUUGUCCACCAAGUCCACUAAAUCAAUAGUUGGCCACUACAUCAAUAAUCAAUUACCAAAUGAAUAGUUCCGAAUUUUAGCCUAUAAAAGGAGACAAUUGCAAUUCAUUUAGGCAUCUUGGUUCUUAGAUCAAGAUCAUGUUCUUGCUCUCUCUUUAAAUUUUUGUAAUGCUUAAGUUUUGCUUUCAUUAAUCUCUUGUUUAUGCUUUUCAUUUUCUUUACUAUACUUAGUUAACUUAUAUCAUGUUUAUGUUCAUAUAUUGUUUAUUUAUGUUUUUAUUUUUCAUAAUGUCGAGCUAAGUUAAUUAUGUCAAGGUGAAAAGGUUUCACUAAUGGUGUUAGAAUAUGUAUAAUAUAAACUCAAUAUGGACUUCAAUGUUUAUAUCCAAGAAAGUUUGUUAUUAAUAUGUCAUAUCUUUUUAUCUUAUUAAUUCUUAAUACCUUGCUUGUUAAAUGGUUAAUCUAGAUUUGUGUUGUAUAACACUUGGUAAAUCAAAUGCUUGAUCCUUCAUAGUCUUCGGUCAACAUCAUUGUUAUGAGAAGAACUUGAUUUGUUGUUAACAUAAGUUAACAUCAUGAAUUCCUGAUAAUAUUUAAAAGUAUGGUGUUACUAAAAUAAGAUAAUUAAUAUGAUCAUGUUAAAAAUUUAUAAUUAACUUUUACGGAUAAAUCAUCCGAUUGGAACCUCCUUUGUGUGUGGUUUCCAAUUGAGUAAUAAAAAGAGUUUAUACUAUACUUAUUUCUAAUACCAUUAGUGGACCCUCUAACCUUGACAUUUAUUUGUAUUAUUGUUUAAUCCUCACAUUAAUCUUAUAUCUCAAAGAUCUCUUUAUAUAUAUAUAUAGUUAACUUUCCUGUGGAUCGACCCCGGUCUUGCUGAGUUAUUUAUUACUUUGACACUCCUUCACUUGAGAGAAGACAUCAAUCUUUUUGUCAUGUCAAUGCACUUCUUUCUAUUUCAGCUUGAUUCCAGACAUAAAAAGGUGGCACAUAACCAUGAUGAUUUACUAGGGCUUAUAAGACACUUUUUGAUUAAUUUGAGGUAAUUUCCAAUUAUCAUUGUACGUGACUUUAUCUCAUUAUCAAAGUUUAGGAACUUGAAUGUUUGAAUUUUGAGAGUUAGCUUUAAUAAGGAGAGUUUAAUUUAUAGAUGAAUUUUUGAGAGGUUUUGGAGCUAUGUUUGUAUCCAUGAUUUUGUAAUAUAUUCUAUAGAUGAUGACUAUAUUCAUGGAAUCUUGAAGCAUAUCAGUACGAGUCUUAACAAGUCUCAAUAUUUAGAGCUAAGGUUUUCACUAUAAUAUCUAGGUUGAAUAAUGAGAUAGUGAAAUUUCGAUAACAAUUCAAGUAUGUAGAACCAUUAACAAGAUUUGAUUGAAAGAUUGUAAGGAGUGAGUUUGAAAAGGUCAUAAAUUUGUGGUCUCUUGAAAACAUAAGUAUGGGAGAGUCUAAUCCGAGAUGAUGAAUUGGUUUGAGUACAAUCUGUAUUAGACGGUGAUCAUUUUCGGUUUGGUUUUUUUAAAAAAACCAAAACCGGUUCAAACCGACCGGUUUCAGUUUGACUCGGUUUUUUCUGGUUUGGAUAUGUUUUUUUCGAUUUAGGUUUGGUUUGGUUUUUCAGUUUCAAACUUAUAAAACAAAAACCAAACCGAACUGGUCGGUUUUUCUGGAAAGAUAUAAUUGUUUCAAAUUGUUUGAUGAAGGCUGGUCUAGAUCAUAAAUAAUUGUCAUUACACAGUGCCGGUCUAACUUGAAAGAUGUUAAUGCCCCAUUAAUUGCGACGCCUAAGCUCAUAAACGAUAUCCAUGAAUUAUGAUGACCAUUAAGGAAGCUCAUAGGAACUCCUUAAUUUCAAGUUGCUUCUUAAUUUGUCUUCUUGGACAUGCAUGUGAUCUAAAGGAACAAAGGGAAAUUAAAUGCUUAAGCAUGAAUGUGAUCGUUCUAUAUAUGUUCGUCUUCAAGCUUUGAAAUUUUUAUAGCUCAAUUAUUAUAAUUUUUUUUAAUUUUUUUAUGUGGGAAAAGAGUAUCAAAAUUGUGGGAAAUAUAUAUUAGAAUAUUUCAUGGACUGCACUGCUCUAUGAUUGUGCAUUUAUAACCCAAUUAUUAUUAUUUUUUCUUUUUCCUGUUGAUUGCAUUUUGGAAUCCAUUUGAUUAGACAUAAUUUGAACUGGAAGAAUGAAUUGGGUUCACCUUCAUUUGUUCUGUUUUAAUGUGACUGAGAGCCUUAUUUUUUUAAAUGUAUUGUCACUCAUUUAGAUACUGGCUAAGUAGAGUUUGCAGUCAGAUUAACAUACAGUAUGCAUUCAUUCCAUUAAACCCUAAUGGAGUGAAUGAAUAAAAUGACUUUUAUUAAAUGUUCCUCUACUACUUGGAUGCUGAACUGGAGUAUUGGAGGUUCCCACAUUGCCCCAUUGUUGGUAUAUUCACCACAAGAAUUCACAGUUUUAUCGAGGGCAAUAUUCCGUCGGUGUGUGAUUGAUAGUACUUCGGUAAAUUAUUUACCGACUAAAUUACCGACAGAAUACGUCUGUCAGCUUACCUUUCAUCGGUGAUUCCACAUUCCGUCGCUUUAUUGAUCGGAAAAACAAAAAAAAUCAUUUACCGACGGUUUUACAGACGGAAUUUGCGUGCCAAAAAAAAAAAGUUUCCCGCUUCAAAAAUACCGACGGAUUUUUAUUCCAUCGGUGAUAUCACAAGUCACCGACGGUUACUUUCCGUCGGUAAAUUAGUCGGUGAAUUGUUGAAAUACCGAUAGAAUAUAUUGUCUGUCAAUUCGUCGGUAACUUGUAAUACCGACGAAAUUAUUCCAUCGGUAAAUCUGUUGGUGAGUCAUGAAAACACCGACCGAAUUUAUCUGUCUGGAAAUUUGUCGGUGAUGGUUGCGGCUACUGUCUAAUACCGACGGAUUUAUUCCGUCGGUAAAUCCCUUUAUAAUUUUUUUUCUAUUUUUUUUAAUAAUUAUUUAGAAUACAUAAUAUAAAAAGGAUAUAAAUUAAUGGUAAUAAAAACCAAUUAUGCAAAUAAAAUUUAUAUUAAGCAUCAAAAACAAAAAAUGAAAGAUAAAUAAUAUUCAUUACAAAAUGAAAUGUUUCAAAAAAACAUUAAAUGAAAUUUUAAAUGUAAAUAAUGUUUAUUAAAAAUUAAUAUAGAGGAGGAGGAGGUGGAGGACGCUGGCUGUUAGGCGGCCAAAAAGGAUUGGGUGCACAUGUUCCACCUUGUGCCAUGUUCAUGACUAUUUGACGAAGCUCUUCAUAGGUCGCUCAUUAUUGUUCAGAAUCUGCUCUGCAUUGUUCUUUGAGUUGUGUGUACGCCUCUGACAGGUGGUCGCACUUUUGCUGCAAGGCCAUGAACUCCUUAGAUUGGGAGCUCGAUACUGAUUGGGAGCUCCUGACGGUUGAAGCAGUAUGGGUCGUCCGCAAGUUGUCGGUCGUAGUGUUGGAGAGCCCGUAAACCCGAUUUUUAUCGAGUCCACUUGAUGAUCCAGCCUCCAUCCACAAAUCCGGAUCGAAUUCCGGAUGGGUCGAAGGAUCGUCCCUGUAUGUCUCCCUCAACCGAUUAUUAUAGGUCUCCUGAAAAUAAAAUAAAAAGUAAUCAUCAUAUUCAAUUCAAUAAACAUAAUAAUAACUUACAAAAUAAAAUUGUUGAACAAACAUACCACAAAAUGUUGAGCACGGCUGUCAACGAACUGUUGCACCCCCUGUUGGCGGUCUUGACUCCGCACGUGCGUCUCCACAAAUAGCUCCAUAGGGCUCGGCUCACGUCCAAGAGACAUAGCCUAUAAUGAAAAAAAUUUAUUAACAACAAAUUAAUUAAACGAUAUAUUUCAUUUAAAUUAAUCUUACCAUCCGUUUUGCAUGUGCAGCAAACGGAACGGAGCCGCCGGUGUGCGUUGUCACCGAGCCAUGAAUUGGCAGAUUCCAGUUGCCAGCACCGGACUAUGAGCAUCGUGUGAACUGCUCAGACGUCACGUGCUGAAUAUAGUGCGGCCAUAUAUCUUCCGGGAAGUAUAUCGGUUUGAAAUCCCUCCAAACCGCAACAUCGUUCCAGCCUUGGAACCCCCUAUCCCUCGCAGGUUUUUUUGCCUUUUUUUAGGCUUCGUACCAAAAAUCACGCAACCUACUUCACGCAAGCAAAAAUUACAUUUCGAAACAUAAAUUUUUUUGUAAAAAAAAAAGUUGUAUUGUUUUCGUUGUUACCUAGUUGCUGCGUGAUUUUCCUACACCCUCCUCACAACAGUGUUAUAUUCCUCGUUCCAACAUAAUCGAUUAUGUGUAUAAAAAAAUAAUUUUUAAAAAUGUUAAUAAUUUAUUUACAAUUAUAUUAAGAAUUUAUUAGAAAUAAGCUGAAAAUUAUAUAUAACACGAACCUGAAAUCUGGAAAACCAUGGAUUGAUUUGAGGCAUCCAUUCAGGAUGCCUGGUUAUCUGACUCCAAUGAAACAAUGGAUUCUCCAUCGAUGAUUUAAACACCGCUGAUAUUACUCGGGCGACCUCAAUGUUUGUGAACCUGAAAAGAAAUGAAAUUAAUUAAAUAGUGACUUCAUAAAUUAUGUUUUUAAUUUUUUUUUUUAAAAAAACUAAAACCUUAACAAACUGACAUUGAAAGAUCGUCUUUUCAUUAUGCCUUGUACUUGCAGGAAAAUCGAUUUCGCUGUGAAGGCACGCCGCUUUUGGGCUGUGAAACAACGCUGGAAGAGGCAGCAUCGGUUGACAGCACAAGUGGUGUAGGUGCCUCUUCUUGAGAGUCACCUAAGGAAAUAUCUUCCUCGCUGCUAGACGAACCUGAUGCGUCCGGACGUGAAGCUCUGGUUUUCAUUCUGUGCAUCUAACCAGUUUUAUAUAAAUAAUUAUAUAAUUAAAUUGAAAUGUUAAAAAAAAAUUCGGCAACACCUCCCCUAUACUAGAUACUACCCAAAUCCACAAACUUGCAAAUAUUAACAAUAGCCACAACCAAUUGACCCAAUCUAUACUAAUUAUUCCAACAUAUUCAAUUACAAAUCCUAAGGUCAAUUCAACAUUAACAAUUACAAUUCAACAAAUUAUUCAAUAAUUAUGCCAAUACAACAAUAAAAUAUAUUCAAUAAAUUAAAAAAUAAUUAUAAACUAAAAAUUAAAAUCAAUGGAAACAAUUAAACACAAAUUAUGCAAUAAUAGAGUAAAAUUACUACGUAUUCCAACAUAUCCAAUUACUAAUUCUAAGGUAAAUUCAACAUUAACAAUUAUAAUUCAACAAAUUAUUCAAUAAUUAUGUCAAUACAACAAUAAAAUAUAUUCAAUAAAUUAAAAAAAUAUUUUAAACUAACAAUUAAAAACAAUGAAAAUAAUUAAACACAAAUCAUGCACUAAUAGAGUAAAAUUACUAAUUAUUACAACAUAUGCAAUUACUAAUUCUAAGGUAAAUUCAACAUUAACAACAAAUAUUCAACAAAUUAACUAAUAACAAUUAUGCCAAAACAACAAUAAAAAAUUUUCAAUAAAUUUUUUUAAAAAAACUAUAGACUUUAGGGAAGAAAUAUGCAUACCUUAAUAAUGUGUUGAAACAAAAAAUUUAUCUACAUUACAAAAAAAUACAACAAAACAAAAAACAUAAAAAGCAUAAAAAUAACUAUAAAUAAAAUAAAAUAAAAUAGAAAAAACACACAUACCUUUUAAUAUGAUGAAGAUUCACAACCAAGCUUGCUAGAGAUUCAACAAAGCUUGAAGAUUUGAGAGGAAAAAAAUCAAAAUUCUAAGAACUUAUAGAAACCUUAGGUCUAUUUUCACGGGCGACAAGCCCACCCAUACUCACUCUGGUCUAUUUUCACAGGCGACCUGCCCACACUCUCACAUUGGUCUAUUUUCACGGGUGACCUGCCCUUUUUAUUGGGUUUACCUAAGAUCCCAUCUUGAGAUCUAACAAGAACAAAAAUCGGUGUGUAGCUCGAUCAACCUGAAAUCCCAUCUAGUAAUUCCCUUUAGCUAGAGCCAAGGUCUGUGCGGUUAGACUGAACUGAGAUCCCUUCGCCGAUCCCCUUCAACCAGAACCAAAAUCCUUUCCAAUUAGGUUAAACUGAGAUCCCUUUGCCGAUCCCCUUUAACCAUAACCAAGGAAUGUGUGGUUAGACUGAACUGAGAUCCCUUCGUCGAUCCAUUUCAACCAGAACCAAAAUCCUUUCCAAUUAGGUUAAACUGAGAUCCCUUUAUCGAAAAUUAACCAACCAAGGAAUAGUUAGACUGAACUGAGAUCCCUUCGUCGAUCCCCUUCAACCAGAACCAAAAUUUUGGUUAAACUGAGAUCCCUUCGUCGAUCCCCUUAACCAUAACCAAGGAAUGUGUAGGGUUGGGCUAGACUGAGAUUCCUUUCGGCAAUCCCCUCUAACCAGAACCAAAAUCCUUUCCAAUUAGGUUAAACUGAGAUCCCUUUGCUGAUCCCCUUUAACCAUAACCAAGGAAUUAUGUAGGGUUGGGCUAGACUGAGAUUCCUUUCGGCAAUCCCCUCUAACCAGAACCAAAAUCCUUUCCAAUUAGGUUAAACUGAGAUCCCUUCGUCGAUCCCCUUUAACCAUAACCAACGAAUGUGUGUAGCUCGGUCAACCUGAAACCCCAUAUAGAGAUUCCCUUUAACCAAAGCUACAUGAGAUCCCAUCUAGCGACCUCAUUCAACUGGAACAAAAGAAUGUGUAAAAAGUGGUCUCAUUAUAAUGGGUGACCUACCCAAGUGGAAAGGAGGAAGAGUGGUCUCAUUCUUAUGGGUGACCUACCCAGGGGGAAAGAAUAUGAAGUGCGGUCUUAUUAUAAUGGGUGACCUACCCAAAAUGGAAAAAAUAUAAAGUGUGGUCUCAUUGUAAUGGGUGACCUACCCAGAUGGAAAGAAUAUGAAAAAGUGCGGUCUCAUUGUCAUGGGUGACCUACCCAGAUGGAAAGAAUGUGAAGUGCGGUCUCAUUGUAAUGGGUGACCUACCCAGAUGGAAAAAAUAUCAUGAAGUGCGGUCUCAUUGUCAUAGGUGACCUACCUAGAUGGGAAAAAUAUGAAAAAUGGUCUUAUUAUGACGGGCGACCUACCUAGAUGGAAAGAAUGUGAUAUGACAAGUGUGAAAAAUAGGACUUACCUGGCGAAGUCUUGAGGGGAUGACAGAAGAUGGGCUGGAAAACUUGGUGCUUCAUGAUAAUCCCCGAUCAUAGGGUUUGAAAACUUGGUGUUUCCUGACUGCAAGAGUUGAAAACUCGAGGCUUCACGAUUGCAAGGUUGAUCUCUUCAUUUCUUUGGGAUUUUCCUAAUGGCAAGGUUCAUCCCAUCAUCCUUUUAUUCCAUGAUCAAAAUCGAUUCUUUAUUAUCAUCACCAUAGUGCUUCUUUCUUUUUUCAACAUCUUGCUGGACCUCAUUAAGGAUUUUCCUGUAACAAUUCAAAAAUAUAUGCAAAUGGUUUUUUUUUUUUUUAAGGUUAGAUGAUAUGCAUGCAUCCUUACCUGAUUUGAAAUAUAGGUCCCCCCCUCUUUGAUGCUCCAUCGUCAUAGGGUGCCCUUGUUUGUAUCCCAAAACUUUCUUUGUUCUUCCGAUACAUUGGCUCAUUCAUGUGCUAGCCAUCCACUCAGCUGUAAAUGCAGUGCCCAUCCCGAGCUGUUUUUGACAAUUACUGCUUGCAUCGUUCAUCAAGCUUGACCCUUCCCCCAAGUGUGGUACUGCUUGAUUCAUCAUGAAGGAUUUUCUCUCCUGGCUUCUUCUAAGAAUUAUCCUCUGAUUGAUUGUGUGCAUCAUGCCAAUACCCAUCAAGAUUGUUAAUCAGUCAUGAACUUGCCUCUAGUUGAAACAAUACUGUUCAAGUACAUGUUAUCAUUAGCCUUCUUGGAACUCAUUCAGUCAUCCAGUCAUGCAUCUCAUAGCUUGCACUACAAAGGCUCAUGGUUGUAUGCUCAGUGUUCUUCUUAAUAGAUUCCCUUCAACUCAGCCUCAUCAAUGAUGCUGCUUUUAUCACUCAUACUCAUGCAGUGAAGCACUCAUCUGGCUUCAAAACAAGUUAUCCCACAGUCAGUCUUCGAGGUGGGUGCCUUUCUGACAUUCAUUCAAUGCAGUUGUGUGAUAACAUCUUCCGAUAAACAUGUUUCAAAGGAUGACAAUAUGACAUUGUCCUUUAAGUGAAGCAUUGUUCCACAGUCAGUCUUGGUGGUAUGCAUCUUUUCUCCAUUCAAUUACAUUCAUCUGUGUAUCUUCAUCGAUCGCUAGCCAUGUUUCAAAAAUGAUGAUAUGAAAGUGUCCUUCAAGUACAUCUUGUUUCUCCAUUGCCGACAGGGUUCACUAAGCAUGGGCCAUUUUGGAAUGACAUUGCCCCCAGUAUGAUCUGAAUGUGCUCGUUCAUUGAUUAUCUGUCUUUGAACAUCAUUGUCUUCAGUUCACUGAUUCAUCAUUUAAUCAUUGCCUCAUAGCUGAUCUGAGCACUGCUUGUUUUUCCUUUUCAAGGUCUACUGUAUUGCCCCCAGCUGCUCAACUUUUCAAGGAGUGUCGAGGACUUCAAUGUCAUUUCUAUCAACGAUUUUGCAUACUCAAUCAAUGUUCUUCUGUGUUUGAUAAUCUUCCUUGUUCUGGAAUCAACUCUCAUAUUUCAAAGAUCAUGUCUAUUCAAAGUCUAGUUUGUUGAAAUGAAAUCAGAGAUGUCCUUUUUGAAAAUCUUUUGAAAAUCAAGCUUUUUGAUCAAAGACCCAACACACGUUAUUCGAAAUACACAGUCCUUUGAUUGUCAUGCAUUUUAAAAACAUAAAUUGACCCAAUGUAGGAUUAAAAAUGGUUUUUUCCAUGGUUCUUUGUAUCAAUUUGAAUCCUUGAUAUUGGGUAUAUCAUUUGAUAGUCUAUGAUGAGGUGACCUUUUCGUGAAUUUCAAAAGCAAGGCACUCAAGUCAACACUUAGGCUUUAUCAAGAAAGGUUGUUUCUCUUCUUAUAACUUGUUUUAUCAGCAUGCAUAAUAACCAAUAGCUUAAUUCAUGAAGUCACGACCCUUAUGGAAAAGCUCUUCAAGUUUUGAGAGCGCCAUUUAUCGGUUCAAAUUGCUUGCUUGAUUAAAAAGGGCUUUUAAAAGCAUGUAAUGCAGGCUAUGGUUCAUGGCUAUGAAAGAAAAGGAAUCUCAAAGGCUCAAAAGGUGUUUGAGGGUUUCAAAGACCUAGGAUCAACAUCAAUUAUUCAUCAACUCUUUUUUAUUGUUGUCUUUAUAGAGGAAACGACAUAUAACCUUGUUAACCUCAAAGAUCAGACUUCACUUAACAUAAGUCAUAAUGCAAAUCCACCUUUCCUUGAUGAAUAACCAACCUUAAUCAUCUGAUAACAUCAGAGGCUUUAUAAUGGACACCAAAAGUCACGUUUAUAACUUAGUCUUUUUUCUGGUAUUGAGUUUUGUUGUGCCUUUCCUUGAUUGAAAUUUCUUUUGCUCUUCAUAGACUUGAUAGGCGUUCUCCUUCCUUUAUCUUUGACUUGUAUUUAAGUGAGGGCAAAUUUCAACUUCCUUUUUUUUCAUUCUCUUUUUUUUCAUAGCCUUCCUCAAAAUUUUCUUAUAUGCCCCCAGUCUAUGUGUUUUCUUUUAUUUCUCUCUCAAUCAUUGGACCUUUGUUCUAAACCUUCCCCUUUAUCCAUUAAUUAUAUCAAUGUCUCCAACAAAUCUCUCAUCUGCCCCCAGUGUGGGGUGUGAUCCUAGUCAUGGUUUUUUUUUAAAGAAAAUACUUUACCAGGCUCAAAAUGGGACUACAAGGGAUAUAAUCUUUAGAAAGUGAAGGGAUAUCAAAGAUGGCCUUUUCUCAUUUCAAGCAAGGUCGGUUAGAACCGAUAAAUUUUGACCCAUCCAGUGUAAUGAUUGGGACUUGUAAGAAUCAUGAUUCACGAGUCCAUAACUACCGAAUCCACUACAUGUCAUUAUGCAUACUGUUAAAACUUAGCUAUAUGAUGUGUGGUUCAGUUUCAGGAGGUAUGAGUUCAAAAUUGUUUAGUCACCUCAUGUCAUUUUCAAGCAUCGAGUCAUUUCUGUAAUCAAAACACUUUUAAUCUUCAGGAUUGAUUAACCUUUAUCGCAUGUUGGAGUUUGAUCAAAAUAUUUUGUCAGAAUAAAAUGCUAAACAUCUGUUGAUUUCAAAACAACAAAGAGACAAAAGCAAGGCAUGUUUCGUUGAAGGAUGAGAUGUGAUCCCAAAACAAAAUGCAGAAUUCCAUAACAAUAUGAUUGAUUGUUCAUCACCAUUCUUGAAUCAGCUUUUCUGGCAAUAUCUGUGUUUUGCCAAGCACUUUCGAUCACAUGUCAUUUUGAAGAUGUUCGGGGGACAAUAUAGCCAAUGACACCCUCCUUCACCGACUCCACUUGUCUCUUGCUCACCAACUUUCGGACUCAAUUCUUGCAAUUCUUGCAAUUGUUCACUUGAAAUGGUUGAGGACCCCACCAUGACAUCAUAUCUCUUGUCUGGAUUAUACCACCUAGAAAACGGUGGUUGCAUGGGAUUUGUCGGAGUCUAGCAAGUCUAGAAUCUGGCAGAUGCUGGCAAAUAAACUCAUAUGACAACUAUUCAAUUGAAAUUCUUGCAACUAUUCCAUUGAAAUGGCCGAGGACCCAACCAUGACAUCACAUCUCUUGUCUUGAUUAUACCACCUAGAAAAUGGUAGUUGCAUGGGAUUUGUCAGAGUCUAGCAAAAGUCUAGAAUCUGGCAGAUUCUGGUAAAUAAACCCACAUAGCAAAGAAUGUCUAUCUUUGGCAAAGACAUUGGAGUAGUCGAUGAUACAACAAGACUUGGUUGGACCAACAUAAUUAAGGUUUUCCAUCGUCAGAUUCUUCUUUUGAUUCAUCUCUCAUCGUUUCUCUAGAAUCCUUGGCAGAACCUUCAAUCUUUCCCAUCUUGAUAGCUUGUUCAAUUUUUGGCAAUCCACACAACUUCAUGUCAAUCUUCCAAUGUUGUUGUUGUUGUUUUAGGAUUGUUGGAAACCCGUCAAUAUCUAGGUAAUCCUGGCAGUGCGCAAAAACAAAAAUGUAUGGAAUCAUAUAUUGUCAAAAUUGGAAGAGAAACUGAUGAAUCCACAACUCCUCUAUUUCCUCUUUGAUUCCUCACUGACGGUGCAACAAACAUCCACUUUUGUGUUUUAAUGCCAAUACUAGUAGGAGAAAAUUGUGGACAAUCUGAAAACCACUGCAUCCCUUCUUGGAUUUCCCAUUUACAGAUCCAUAAAUAGAUUCCUGCCGAGAGAUCUCUGCAACGGUGAAGUUUGAUGUCUGCUCCAUGUUUUUCAAACCAAAUCUGGCUCUUCAACAUGCUACAGUUUCUUCAUGCUGAAACUAAUGAGAGAAAUAUUUGUAGCAUAUGCAAUUAGUAAAUCCUCUCUUGCACUCUCAACUUGCAACAUCAUAAACAGAUUUCUGUAGAGAAAGCUCUGCCACGUUGAAGUUCGACGACUACUCAUAUUUUCAGACCAAGCCUGACUCCUCUGCCUAGUACGAUGUUUUGCUCGUGCCACUGGUGGGAAAAAAGUUUCAAAGCAUAUGAAAUUAAUACAUCCUCUUUUGUAUUUCCCAUUGGCAGAUCCAUAAAUAAAUCUCUACAAAGAGAGCUCUACCACGUAGAAGUUCAGUGUAUGAUCAUGGUUUUCGGACCAACAUCUUGUGCUGCUGACUGAAAUUGAGCUCAUAAUUAGGGUAACUUCAAAGCAGACUAAUGCACCAUGUACAGGAGGCUAGUAGUUGUUUGGUUCCAUUAGAUGAUGUGGAGGCGAUGAACACUUAACAGUGCAACUAGACAAGAACUAGAGUUGUCAUUAGUUGAUGACUGAAGGCAUUGUUGCUGUUGUUCAUGACUGAAAAGGAGAGGCAACUUCAAUUGAACGUGGACAAGCAGUGUUCCCACAGAAGACUGUGUAGACAUUCUCUUUCCAUUUGAUGCUCGACACUUGUUCGAGCAGAUCUGAGUCUAGCUACUUCACCUUUGAUGCUCUCAACCUCAAUCUGAUAAUGAGCCUCUAUCUAACACUUUUCUUCACCUCUAUCAUUUUUCUUCAAUCACGUGCAGCACAGCUUGUGCGGGGGACCUACCUUUCAACCUGGUACAUGCAUGAUAAAUGUAUGAAUAUGUAAUCUAUAUGACAAACUCGCCCUUCGAGGGGUGACAUAUGGUCGCAACUCUUGUAUGAUGAAACAAGAAUCUUGAUUCUUGCACAAACUCUACAAUGAAAAUGUUCUGAGCGACGGUCAUUGUGUCACCCAUAAGUCUGGAGUUCAAGAUGCUUCAAAAAGGGCUUGCUCGGAUGCAAAACAAUGUAUACGGAGCAUACAUCCUAAAGGUAGAUUCUAAUCUUUUUAAGUGAGACAAAAGGUAGGAUAUCAUCUUCUUCAUCGACAUUUGCUUGUCCGCUAGAGCUCAAAACAACGUUCAACUCCUCUACGUCAACAUCAACAAGACUAUCAUCGAAAACACGAAAAUUUGAAUUUUCUUCCAAUUCAAUCGAAGGAGCAACUCGAUAUGGUUCAACCAACUCACUAACUUGAAAGACUUCAUCCCACACACUUGUGUCUUCGUUCUCAUCCUAAACAACCUCGACACGACCCCGUGGUUUUGUUUUUAAAACGAACAACCAAUCAACUCUUGAUCGAUCCUUUCUAAAUGAAGGGGUGUAUGUGUAAUAAACUUGUUGACAUUACUUUGCGAAAACAAAGACAUCGUUUAUGUUGCAGAGUCUAGCUUUUGAGUUGAUUUCGACUAGACCAUGGUGUGUAUCAACUCUGAUUCCUCUGUCCGUCGUGUCAUACCAAUAGCGUUUGAAUAAAAACACUGUAUUCUGCUCGCUAUGAUAUUGUAGUUCGACGACCUCUUCUAAUCUUCCAUAGUAGUCAACUUUUAACUCACUACUUGUGGAUCCUUUAACACAAACACCACAGUUGUAUGUCUUUCUUCAUUGCCCGUAUUCUUCAGUAUGGAAAACAUAUCCAUUGACAAAAUACUUGUUAUAGCACUUAACUUUUCUUUCAGGCCCGAGGCUUAGUGAAGGCAAUGACUUAGACGCACUUCUUCCCAUUUGAUAAACCUUGUAUACAUGUAAUGUACAUCAAUAAACGGUAAAUGAACGAGAAUCUUGUAAUGACAUGCAUACGUACAGUAAUUUUGCAAGUUAGAAUGAGUUUGUGAUAGUGCUUACAUGUGUUCUAAACCAUGUGGCAAAUUGUUCAUCUUGUAAUUGAAAGAUCUGGGAGUCGGUCAGCUGCGAGUUAUUGGAGAGCAAAUAUUGUCGAUGUUGCCUGCAAGUGAUAAUGAGUGUAUGAUUUCACAAUAUAUAAUUAGCAGUAUAUUACUGACAAAGUUUAAAUAGUAUUACACAUAUAUAAACUUACUGAAUAAAUGGUCUUAACUCUUCACAGUUAAAUAGAACAUAGUUGUGUGCUUGUUUGAAUUCUAUUUCCGACAAAUAUCUUCCUCUUGUCGCACGUCAAAAACAAAUCCGUGCGCGGCAUCGACUGGCGAUUAUUCGUUCUGUUUUGCUGAUUUGGUUCUUUAGAGUCGCCACCUAGUAAUUCAUUGAGGGCUACUAGGAAACCUGAUGUACUGGACUUGUCAGAGAUCGCGGGUAAGGGACUGGUUGUGGUUAGGGAAGGUAUUAGCACCCCUAACGCACCCUACCUGAGGUAAGCUGCUUUGUGGACUUGAUGUGUUAAAGAAGUUUUAAAAAUUAUGUUCUUUCAUCGAAUUUUAGAAAAUACAACUUACAUGUAAGUUCAUAAUUCUUUAUCCGUGAUCAAAUCAGAAUAUUAAAUUCUUCUUUAUUCUUGCAAUUUUAUCAUAAUAAAAAAAACAUUCAUAAACAAAAAUACACACCACAUUCACUUUCAAGCUUUGUGGACUUGAUGUGAUAUUAAAAAUAAAAUUUUAGCCCAAUUAUAAGGCUUUGAUAAAUCAGUUAUUACUUUUCCAGACUAUUAUGUAGAUACAUGUUCUACAUUUCCAUGGAAAAUUCAACAUGAUUUUUAUCUGUCCUUUAGAUAUUUGUGCAUAUAAAAUAAAUUCCUUUUUUUUUAUUCAAUAACAUUCAAAAAAAAAAAUACAAGCACACAAACAUUUUUUUUAUUAUUAUUAUCACUUUCUCUGUCUUUUCUUUUCUUUUCUUUUACAUCCUUUUUUUUGUUCUUUUUAUACAUUACCUUACAAAUUAUAAAAACAAAUCAAACUAAAUAAAAAUGACAUUACAUAAUUUACAAUUUACAAAAACAGUCCCUAAACUCAAGAAAUUGCAUUGAAGGACACUGCCGGAACUGCCCUGAACUUGUGGCGGCGCGUCUUCCCACGUGCCACCGUCACUGGCGGCGCGUGAAUCUAGAAACAGCGGGAUCUGGUUCGGCUUCUCUCCUUCUUCCUUUCCUCGCCAGCGGUGAGCAACGCCGUCACCUGUAGAACACAAAAACGCAAGCAACAGUCUGUUUUAGUUAAUUUUUAGAUCUGUUUUCCAUCAUUAUCUGCUUCCCUUUCUUCUUUCUCCGGUCUAUUCUUGGGGAUUCACCAUCUUCUUCUCUGCUCAGGUAGUCGGGCGGCGGCUGGUUGAUGGUGGAUCUAUGGCCGGAUGUGGACGGCGCUGCUGGAGGAAGGCGUUGCUGCCUGAUUGUCGGUUGCGGUUGGUGCUGGACCUGUGGGGGCUGCCGUUGAAGGGGCUGGAAGUCAGAUCGUCUGAGAGAGAGGAGUGGUGGUUGAUUCUCCGUACCUGGCGAGAAGAAAAGGAAGUCUGAUCUGGGAGGAUCGGCCGGGGAAGCGGCUGAAGGAAGAAGAAAAACCGAAUCUAGAGGGGGGGAAACGGCGACCAGUUUUGAAAGGAAGCAGGUUCGGUUUUGGCCAGCGUUAUGAUCACGAUCGGUGAUGGGGUUCGGUGAGGAGGGGAAGAUCGGCUGUGGAGUGUGGUGGUGAGCGGCUGAAAAAAUCAAAGAAAAGGGGGCUCUGGUGAGGCCAAGAAGGAAAAAUUGAUUCGCCGGCUGUAAAAGGGAGAACCGGUUUUGGUUUGGGUGUGUCUGUGUUUGGUGCCAUGUCAUGUGCUCAGUAGUCCUUCGUGACAUGAAUAACCUCUGCAGUCUAGGUGUGAUCGGGAAAUAUCUAAGUUUUUCCCCUGCCAGUUCUGGGUUUGUAACGGGAAUACCCGCAUGUCAUGCACUCGGUCAUCUCAGCAUUUUCAAGGUAGUAUAACAUGUAGAAGUUAGGGCACAUGUCAAUUUUAUGGUAUCCUAAACCAAGGGGUUUCAUCAUGGACUUCGCAACAUAGAAGUUCUCUUUCAGCCUGUUCACUUCAGGUAAAAUGCUUCUUGCCCAAUCAAUAAUUUUUUCAUACCCGGCCUCACUCAGCCCGUGAUCUGACUUGAUGGUGAACACCUGUGCCACGGGCGACAAUUUACUGUGGUUUGUGCAGCCAUCCCAUAAUGGUUCGUCAGAAUCUUUCAACAAAUCAAAAAACCUAGCUGCCUCUGCAUUAGGUUCUUUUUCUACGAUUGGACAUUGAUUGACAUUACCUUGAUUCAUUCUCAUUGCAUCCAUAACCACAUUUCUGUAAGGAUUAGUGUUGUCAUUUCGCUUCAUGCACGUUGCUAGCACUAGAAGUUGACCCAACCACCGUUUCUCUCAUUCUCCUAUUACUAACAAAUACCUCUCCAUGUGCAUACCAACACUGGUAAUCCUCAAACCCUUUGUGUAGAAGAUGCAUCAUUACAACAUCUGGAUGCAGAUACUUUUUAUUUUGACACUUCCUGCAUGGACACCUAAUACCGCCUCCAGUAAAAUUUCUGGGAAUAGAUGUUGCGAAAUUAAUAAAACCCUGAACCCCGUUACAAUAAUCCAUCCUCCGCAAUCCUUGGGUGAAUCUAGAUACAUCCAUGAACGAUCAUCCAUGACUUCUAUCGAACCUCUAUAAAAUUAUGAUGACAUCAUGUAUUAAUUAACUAAGUUAGGUAAAUAAACUUGCAAAAAUAUUACUUUACCUCGAGAUUAUCCAACAAACCAAUCACAACUUCUCAUAAAUAUUAAAUAUUCAUUAUCAUUUAUCAACGUCCAUACAAAUUAAUAUAUAUAAAUUAACAGAAAUUACCACUCUGCAAUACCAUCGAUAAAACUUAAAAAGGACCCAUUAAGCAAGCUAUUAAUUAUUUCAAAACAGAACAUGUAAUUCGGUAAUUCCACAAAGUUUUAACAAUUUACAAACAAAUACAAUCUUACAAAAUCUAAAACAAACCAUAACAGGUAUAAAAUUAUACAUUCAUAUACUACAAGUUUGUUUGAGAAAUAACAAUAAAACAUGUACAUCUACUAACAAAAAUACAUAUACUAAAAAACAAUAAAAUUGACAUUUAAAUGUUAAAAUUUAAAUAGAUAGAAUUACUUACAAAAAUUGAUAAAAUCCGUCGGUAAAUCAGAACACGGAUGUUGUGACCACAAAAUUUCAAGAAAUACAACUUGUUGUGUUGAGAUGAGCAAGAUUUUUAUUUGGGGGCAAGGGGGGGCUGAUUAUUUGCAGAUGGGGAGAGUUAGGAUUAGGAAGAAAAAGGAGAUAUGGGGAAGGAGAGUGUCGACAGAGUGGCCAUAUAUUUACUUUUUCCGACGGCCUCAUCGACGGAAUAACACCGUCGGUGACUCCGUAGGUCAUUCCGACGGGAAAUCGACACGUCACCGCACGAACCUGCUUUUCAAAUCCCUCGGUGAUUCCGUCGGUAUUUUUUAUGGUGCAACGGUCGCGUCACCCAUACGGAUCUGCCGUUUCAAUUCUGUCGGUGAUUCCGUUGGUAUUUUGAAGUCCCAUGACACGUACUUGUCAACCAUUUUGAAUCCGUCGGUGAUUCUGUCGGAAAAAUCACCCGCCAAACCUCCACGUCAGCUACCCGCCCUUUUUUCAUUAAUUUUGAUUAUUCUGUCCGUAAUUCGGUCGGUAAUUACCAACCAAAUGACGGACAGAAUAAUUCCAUCGGUAAUUUCGACCGAAAAAUACCGACAAAAAUAUUCCUCGGGGAUUCCGUUGAUAUUAAGCGAAUUUCUGGUAGUGAUUUGAGCAACUCUGAAACAUGAAGCUAGUCAAUAGGCGUCUAUAAGUUGUACAGAGAUUUUACAAUAGAAACUAUUCAAGUAAGAUUUUGGUGCAAUCAGUAUUCUAUAUGCACGAACAAAUUUGGGGCUUCACUGUACUACCUCAGAUACUCUCAAAAAAUGCUUCUUGGAAUUCGGAAGUUUAGACGAUCAUCGGUUAACAUGUCUGGUGUUGGUGCUUCAUGAAAUGAUGUUACCGUUUCUCUUUCUGAACGUUAUUCCAGGUUGGAAAUUCAAGUAAUUAGUUCAAAUCCUAGAAGAUGAGUGGUGGCUUAGAAUGCUGUGAAAAAAUCGUUCCCCUGUUCAUUUUUCAAAUUAGAAAAGACAUAACUUUUUGCUUGAACUUCUAGAAUAUAAAAAAAUCUUACUUUUAUAUCUAGACACUUUCCAUCUAUGAUCUUUAAAUCUGAAGACAUAUCAUCUGGUUUUAAGAAAGUGCUAUUAACAUACCAAACUUUAUUAGAUUGUUGUUGUGCACUUAGGAAGAAAUAAAAUACUUGUCCUCUAUUGUUUUCAAUAGCAUGAUCAGCUUCAUAGUUUUCUACGUUGUCUUUUUACUAGAAGUACCUUCGUGAAUGUUGGGAAUUUCUGUCUUUUGCAUCUAUACCAGCACUCUUUUACUUAGUGUCCACCUCAUUUUCAAGUUCAUGUCGCUGGAUCCAGCGGUCAAGAGAAAAUCAUGUCAUUGACACUAAUUUAGACCAUCAAAAUGAUUGAUAUUUGUGUUAAAUGGUUCCUUUUAACUGAGAGAAUUCAUAUUAGGUGUUUUUCUUACCUUUAAAGUUUGUGAAAAAACAAAUAUUAUCUCAAGCUGAUUUUUGGUUUCAUGUUCAUUUCUAUUUUUUAGAGGGUUUGUUGGUUUUUUAGGCUAAAAAUAUGUUUAUCAUGGUUCUUAAGGUUUUUUAUAGGUGUUUUGGGUCAAAAUGAGUUUUGAGUAAAAAAACUUAAGCCUUGAUUUUUCAACCACUACAGUGGUUGGAAUCCGGAUAAGAUCAGACGACGCGUUGUCUGUCUCAAUAGGCAACGCAUCAUCUGAUUGUUUUAAAAAAAUAGAGGUGGACGACAUGUCAUCUGCUCUAAGUGCAGCGAAAAAAAUGGGUCCAGUUAGGUGAGCCCUAAUGAAAUGGGCCAGGCCAGGCAACACUUGACCGUUUUUUCCCUUAUUUUUUUCAAUUCAUCCUUAUUUUUAUAUGUUUUUUUGUAAAAUAAAAAAAUAUUUAUAUUUAGAUUAAUACCUCUUUUCUUUUUGUAUUUUGUUCAGAAAGUCUUUUAAAUGAUGAUUAUUUUUUUGUUAUGUUUUUAAUUUUUGAAGAGGUCUUUCUGAUUCAUUUAUAUUUUUUUUAUCGUUUAUGUAGAAGAAUUAUAUUUUUGAAAAUAAAAAAUAUUUAUUUUCAAAUAAUAUUUCUACAGAGAGGUCGCUGGAUCCAGCGAUAAAAAAGAAAAUCAUGUCGUUGACACUAAUUUAGGCCACCAAAAUGAUUGAUAUUUGUGUUAAAUGGUUCCUUUUAACUGAGAGAGUUCAUAUUAGGUGUUUUUCUUACCUUUAAAGUUUGUGAAAAAACAAAUAUUAUCUCAAGCUGAUUUUUGGUUUCAUGUUCAUUUCUAUUUUUUAGAGGGUUUGUUGGUUUUUUAGGCUAUAAAUAAGUUUAUCAUGGUUCUUAAGGUUUUUUAUAGGUGUUUUGGGUCAAAAUGAGUUUUGAGUAAAAAAACUUAAGCCUUGAUUUUUCGACCACUACAGUGGUUGGAAUCCGGAUAAGAUCAGACGACGUGUUGUCUGUCUCAAUAGGCGACGCAUCAUCUGAUUUUUUUUUUAAAAUAGGGGUGGAUGACAUGUCAUCCGCUCUAAGUGCAGCGAAAAAAAUGGGUCUAGUUAGGCGAGCCCUAAUGAAAUGGGCCAGGCCAAGCAACACUUGACCGUUUUUUUCCUUAUUUUUUUCAAUUGAUCCUUAUUUUUAUAUGUUUUUGGUAAAAUAAAAAAAUAUUUAUAUUUAGAUUAAUACCUCUAUUCUUUUUUAUUUUGUUCAGAAAGUCUUUUAAAUGAUGAUUAUUUUUUUGUUAUGUUUUUAAUUUUUGAAAAGGUCUUUCUGAUUCAUUUAUAUUUUUUUUAUCGUUUAUGUAGAAGAAUUAUAUUUUUGAAAAUAAAAAAUAUUUAUUUUCAAAUAAUAUUUCUAAUACGUGUAGCCUUGCAUAAUGUUUUUUUUUUCUUUUUAUUUUAUUCAAUCAAUCUAAUGUGUUUGUCCAUUUCUUUUAUCAAUUGAUUGAAUAAAAAUACAUUAUAAUAAUCGUGUAAAUAUCCAGUCUUGCGAUAUUAAAUAUCUUGAUCCACACAUGUAUCUUGAUUUUUCAAGUUUUAUUUUUAAGUAUUGUUAAUGACUUAUUAUUAAUUUAUUAGCACACAUAGUUCUCGGUUUACUUGAUUACAUGUAUUUUUGAUCUACACUUCAAUUUUUUGAAUUAUAGAAAUGCAUUGAAAAAACUUAUUUAUAUAAUGUUUUUAUAGAAAAUAAAAAUAUCUGAUCCGUAACGGAGCGCGGUUCAUAUAACUAGUAAAUACUAAAUUGAAGUGAUAAAAAAUAACAUAAAGCACAAGUAAAUUACAUAUACAAGUGAUCAAUGAUAGAGGCUCCUCUAUGUAUAGAUAAUGGAGCAUUGAUUCUUAAGUUUAGGGAGACACAUGGUGCCCGUGUCAGUUUAUAUUGGAUCCUGUGCUUGUAAGUAAUGAUGGAUUCUCAUGAGUCCUACUAUUUAACAUGCUUAAGAAUAAAGUUGACAUGUUGGAUAAUUGAUUGAUCUCUUAGUUCAAGUAAUCUGAUUCAUUCUUCAUAGUUAAUGUAUCUAGUGACUUGAUAUAAAAAGCCUAGUGGGUUGGUAACUGGUAGCAUGUGAUGUCUAGUAAGCUAGGUGACAGGUAACUAGUACCUAUAAAAAGUCCCAUUUGAUGGACGUGGGGAUUCUCAGAUGGUAAAGUCGAUAACUUUAUGGAAAGAGAAAGUGCAAUAAUAUUUUAAAGAGAUAUACUCUGAAAAUAUAUACAGUUAUACACAAUAGAAAAUGAAGAGAUUGUGAACCUUUAACUUGAUGGAUUCAUGGUGUAUUUAUAGCUUAUAAAUUUUAUCCUUUUAUGGAGAGGAGGGGCUGAAGUGUAAUUUCAAUAUUGUGAUAUUUUGAGUUGUAUUCCACUCAAAAUAAUAUGUAUUUGAUCAAUAUAAAAUAUCAAAAGAUGUAAGUUGGAUUUUGAAAAAUUCUCUAGUGAGUAUUGGGCUCGGAUAAGGUGCCCGAGCCCAUUGGAGGUGAAAGCAGGUUCGGGAGUACUACCUGGACUCAAACACACUAAGCUCAGGCGUGAAAACCUGUUCCCAUGAUGGCUAUAGGGUGCAUGCCCAACACCAUUUGGGCGUACACCCUACAUAGGUACACAUACAUUGGGGUGUAUUGAGCGUACAUACACUGGGCAAAUGCCCAAUGCACUGCAUAAUGCCCAUGCAUUAGACGUUCAUACGCCCAUUAAGGAGCAUGGGCUUGGGCUCCUUGCCCGAGCCCAUGUUCUUGGUGCGUGGAUAGCCCGAGCUCAUGUUCCUUGGGUGGUUUUUGAGUUUUUUUUUUCUCUUUUAGAGGAUUUCUUUGGGUCUAUUUUGAGGGAUUUUUUUGGUCAAUUUUAUUUGUAUCCAUCAGAUUCUAUUAUCAAUUUAAAAAGUCUGAAGUGAUAGAUUAAAAAUAUAUUUUGUAUAUAAGUUCCUCAUUUUCCAUUCGUAACCCAACAACACAUCUUGAAACAUUAAACUGACUUAAACCUUCAAAUAGAGAAUUGAAUUUUAAUGAAAUUUAACCUUUUUUUACAAUAUCUGACACUAAGCAACGAAUAGCUUCUAUAAAGAGGAUUUUUUAGGGAUUUUUUUUUAAUUCUUUUCUAUUUAGUGUAAGAAGUUAAAUUUUAUGUUUAAUAUUUUUAUUUUUCAUAGUUUAUUUAGAAUUUUUAUUAAUUUUUUUAUUUUUAGGUUUCUAGUUUGUUUAGGUUAGUUUUUUAAGUUUAUUUAAGGAGUUGUAAACCUCUUAGUAAGGAAAACUACAUGAACAUAAAAUAUUCAGUAAUAAAAUUAUAAUUUAGGGUUUUGUGUGACAAUUUUAUUUAACUUCAAUGAUACUAGUGGUUAUGUCUUUAUAGCUUAUUGUUUUUAUGUUUGUGUUUCCGUUUAUGUUAGUUGGUAUUAAAGUUCAAUGAUACUAGUGGUUAUUCGCUUGCUAUGUGCUAGAAUAACAAUGAUUAGAAAAUGCUAUGUGCUAAAAUAACAACUCUAAAAUAAAGAAAAUGUAAUAAAAUUUCUAAAAAAACUAAGAGAAAUAAAAUUACUUCUUUCAUGAAUUCAAUCUUGAUUUAUAAUAGAACUCAUGUUUGGAGGCACUUAGGCCUUUUCAACACAGUUAUUUUAUAAUUAUCUAUUUAGAUGGAAGGCAAUUAAGUCUUUCACCAUAUAUAAAAUUAAUUUUAAAAAAAGAUGGUUGGUAAAUGCCACUCACAUGCCAGUAAGUAGGAGGUAUUCAUGUUUUUUAGGCGAUACAUAUGGCACCUUACAAUGGUCAAAUGUCGUUGUUCGCUACAGUGUGUAAAGUAGAGCAUCAUCAUUUUCAAAGUGAUAGGGCACAUAUUCACAAUGGAGGUGAGGUUAAGCUCUGAUGAAUCUUUUUUUUCUUCUUUUUCUUUUCUCUCUCCUAGCCUCAAAAUUUUCACUAGCCCUUUAAAAAAUUAAUUGUGUCAUCCAGUUUGGUCUUUAUUCUUUUGAUUGCUAUUUGUUUUUUCAAUUUUAUUCCUCAUCAUUUUAUCUUGUUUAAUUUUUGUGUCCAAUUUUGGUCCUCAUGCUUUGAUUGCUAUUUUUUUAAUCAUUUUCUUAAUUUAUUUUAAAUUUUAAUUUAGUCCCUCAUUGUUUUAUUUCAUUUAAUUUUUAUGCCAAAUUUAAUCUUUAUGUUUUUUAUUGCUAUUUGUUUUGUUUAUCUAAUUUUGGAUGAUUAGGGAUUUUUCUUGGUAUUUUUUAGAGUUUGCCUUAAAUGGUUUAAUCUUGAUCUCAUAACUCAAGUCACUAGUUUUGAGAAUUAGCCCGAUUUAACUUCAAUAUUUUUUAUGCCGUUUUCUUAAAAUUGAUUAUUUUUUAAUUUUAUCAUUUCAUUUUAGGUUAUUGGAUCUUGAGUUUCAUGGUUUUUUCCACUUUUCUUUUUCUAUUUUAUCCUAGGUCAUGGGUUUGUUGGGUGAACCCAGAUUCAUUCAAGUUUUAAUUUUUAUUCAGUCUUGAGUUUCAUGGUUUUUAUUUAAUUUUUUUAUUUCAUCAUUCGACAUUGAGUUAUUGGGUCAUUUGAAAUUCAUUAUUAUGCCUUAAGCUUUGUGAUUUUAUUUUUUUUUCAUUUUUCUUUUUGUGGGGUUAACCUAGGUUGACUUCGGAUUUUUUUGGUAUUUCUUUUAUUUUUCUUUGAUCUUUUUUUCUAGGUCAUUUUUAUUUUGAAUAAUUUUUUAUCCCGAUCACAUUAUGUGGAUUGCGAGUUAGUUGAGUGAAUCUUAGCUAUCUCAAUUUGUUUUACGUUGCUUUUUUUUAAUGAUUUUUUUAUUUCAAUUUAAUUCUUUGACAUUAGAUUGUUGGGUCAUGAUCUUAGUGAUUUUUUCCACUUUCCUUUAUAUGAAGUUGGCCCAAGUUACAAGUUAAUCAAAUUAACCCGGUUUAUAUGAGUGGGGCACAAGUUACAAGUUAAUCAAAUUAACUCGGGUGGACUCAAUUGUUUUCUUGACAUUGACUUCGAUCUUUUUAUUUAAGUUUAUUUUUUAAUUUAUUUUUUUUAUUUUGAUCUCAUAUUGAGGGUAGUGGGUAGUUAGGUGAGCCCAGGUUGACUCGUGUUGAUGUGAAUCUCGUGAUCACGUAGUCACGCAACCCACAAUCAAAAUUAAGAUCUAAUCCCGGAAAGCCGAAAUAGAUCUGAUAGGAGUCUGACACAAUGGAAACUUGCCCCAAGGCACCAACACUAUUGGAAUGAGUAGAAUGACGCCACGAAGCCAAUUAAUCUUCGAUAAAUCAGAUUCAAUUCGUUCAAGAACUAAAGAAUGCAAGAAUCACUCUCACACAUUAAAACUGAAAAAUUCAGAAGUAAUAAUCAUCAAAGCUCCCAAAAUUUUGGCUUGCAUGAGUUUAAAUAGUUCUUGAAAAAUUAACCCUAAUGGACCCCUUAUAUGGACUUAUAUGAGGUCCACUCAAAACUGAUGCAAAAUCCUAAACUGAAAAGCCCAUAACUUAAUCCAAACAAGCCUUGGAUCCUAGCUGAAAACAAAGUAUUAAUUAAGCUCAAACAUAAAAGAAAAUAAUAAAAAUAACUAACUUGUCAUUAAAUACCACCAGCCCUUCUUUCUUUGUGUAGUUAGGAUGAAUAAGGGAAUCCUUAUAAGAAAAUUAUUCUAAAACAUUAAUGAAUCAUUGCCACACUUGGAGAAUAUUAUAUUGCAGCUCAUUAAAGAUCCUUAAGGAACUAGGAAAUUCCCAAAACAAGCUCCCACAUCCUUGUAGGAAAAUGAUCCUUGCUGAACAGGAAGUCCACAAGUUAAAAGGAAGUAAAUAAUAGAAUUCGCAUAACCUGUUCGGACCUAUAUUGCAAGUCUUUUCCGAACAUGGAUUCUUCUAAAAAUGUACCCCAACAUAGAAAAACAUUUUUGAAAUCUUCUAGUAAAGUUUCAGCUCGAUCCAACGGUUGGAUUUGAAGUUAUGCUCAAUAAUGUAAAACUGAACGGUAGAAACUUUUACGCCAAAAUCCAAAUCUGACAUUGCUUGGUUCGUAUCACAAGGCUGAACUGUAUCACGUGUUUUUUCUUCGAUGUUUUUAUUUUUAAAUUUUAUUUUUCAAGUUUUAUCUUUUGAUAUUAGGUUAUUGGGUUUUACUUAAAGGAUAAAGGGGGGGUUCAUUGGAAUCUAAAAGUAAGUUUGACAUAUUCAUGAUGAAUAAAAGUACAAAAGUAGAUUAAUUGAAAUAUUAUUAGUUUAAUUAUAUAAAUAUUAUGUAAAGUUCGAUGUCAUUUAUCCACACACAAAAACAAAUUGCAAUAUUAACCCGGAGGUAAGAAGUCUAGGGUAUCUUGAGAAGAGUGAUCAUGGAUCCAAGGUUAAUUUUGAGAAUUUGUUUCAAAGAUGUAAGUAGAGAAAAUAACUUUUUGAUUGGGAUAAAUAUAAUAUUGAAAUUAAAAUUUUGAUAAUUCUAGUUUUUUUGUGAAUCGGAAUCAAAUACCAAAAUUUGAUAAGGAUGAUGAAAAUGAUGGUAAAGAAAAAGAUUUAAAUGCAAAAUUUUUAAUUAGUGAUAUCCACGAGAAGAUAACAAAAAUAGAUGUGGUUACGAUGCAUAGCGUGAAGGAUGUGUGUUUGAGAAAAAAAAUUAGAAUUAAUGAGGUGAAAGCUGAUGCUAUUGCAAUCCAGCUCAUGCAAGACUUCCAAGUCGUUGGCAGUAUCCAAUUCGAAUAUUAUAGACUUCGUCUAAGGUAGUUUACGAAGAAAGUACCCGUAAGACAUGGUUAUAAUAAAAAGUCGUUGGCAGUAUCCAAUCGAAUAUUAUAGACUUCGUCUACGGUAGUUUACAAAGAAAGUACCCAUAAGCAUGAUUACAAUAAAAAGUAUACAUUUCCUGAAAAAAAGAAAUGAAAAACACUACAAAGCUGAGAAAGGCAGACAAUAUCAAUUGUCAAAAUCUAAGGAUACUCAAAUGAGUUUCGGAAGGAAAACCUGAAAAUGUACGAGAGAACACAACCCCAUCAUUGAAGCUGCUAUUUAUAUAUAUAUAUAUAGACAUGAUCUAAUGCUAGCAAGCUGCGAAUCAUAUAUUUUAAGCAGCACACAUUGAGAAAUGAUUUCAGUCUCAUCUUGCCUUUGGGUCAAUUAUUUUAGAAAACACACCCCUUGCUCUUUGAUCUGGAUCACUUUGGGUGACACUUUCACGAGUGCUGAUAAGCCACGAUCUGAAGAAUCUCAAAGUCCACGUCAUUCUAAGAGGAUCCAUAAACCAAAUCCCAAAUAUCUGGGAUGAGCUGAUCGUGAGUUAAUGCAUGCAUAACGGAAGAAGCCAUUAAACAGGGGUCGUGGCUAUCAAGGAGUAAUGGAAGGAGGGGUUACACCCGUUAUAUCACCAUUUAUGGUCAUCAGUUAUAUCUUAAUUAAUUCCAAGUUAUUAGUAGCUUUAUUGUUCCCUUUGUAUUUCAGUUUUAUUUGUAAUUCACUUUGGCUAUUUAAGCAGCUAAAGUUUUAAUAAGAAGAUAUAAUUUCAGUAAAAAAGUGUGGUUUAGUUCUCACCCGAAGAGAACCUUUAUAAUUUGUGCUGGGACCUAACAUUGGUAUCAGAGCACGUUAUGGGAACCAACAAGGAGCGUAUUGAGCACCUGGAAUCUGGACUUGGGAUAGUUCAAGAUGGUCUUCAGAGAAUGGAGUUGGGAGUGAAUGAUAAACUCCAACAUUUGGAAGACACUCUUACUCGACUUGCCAAUAUGUUGAGGCAAAUCAAGAGAAUCCUAACCGCGACAAUUAUCAUAGAGAAGGCAACAAUGGGGGUCGGCAGAUUAUCUCCUCCAAAACAGCAAAACUGGACUUCCACGAUUUUCAGGGGAUGACCCAACCGAAUGGUUCAACCGUGUGGAACAAUUCUUUGAAUACUUGGGCACAGUUGAAAACCAAAAGGUAGCCAUGGCUGCUUACCAUCUUGAAGGGGAGGCCAACCAGUGGUGGCAAUGGCUUCAAAGGACGUUGCAGGGAGAAGGGCAAGUGAUUUCAUGGGCAAAUUUCAAGAAGAGUUAUGGGCUCGUUUCGGACCAUCAGGCUGUGAAGAUUUUGAUGAAGCUCUCUCAAAAAUCAAACAGGAGGGACAUUGAGGGAUUACCAACGGGAGUUCGAGAAGCUUGGAAAUAAGGUACAAGGUUGGACACAGAAAGCAUUAGUGGGAACAUUCAUGGGGGUCUGAAGACAGAAAUUUCUGAAGGGAUUCGGAUGUUUAACCACAAUCCCUCAAGGAGGUCAUUAAUCUAGCAAGAAUGAGAGAUGAGCAACUUACAAGACAGAGGCGGUUCUACGACCAGCACCUCCAAAAAUUCCUCUAGCUCUUCCACCACCCAAUCGGGUAACUCCUGCUAGUCGGUCUACUCCGCUUAGGCGUUUGUCAUGGGAGGAGAUGCAAAGAAGAAGAGUGCAAGGCCUUUGUUUCAAUUGUAAUGAAAGGUUUACAGCCGGGCACAAAUGUCAACAACCUCAGCUACUACUCUUGGAAGGUUACAUAGAUGCUGGUAAUAUGUCCUAUGAAGAUAUUACUUAUCCACAAACCAGGGGGUUUGUACAAGGAGAAGAUACAGUAGAGGCAUGCGAACCAGAAUUGGAACCUGAAAUCACUCUGCAUGCAUUAACAGGGUGGACAGCCCCAAGAACAAUGCGAGUGACAGCGAAGGUGGGCUCUCAUACGGUGAUGGUGUUGAUAGACAGUGGAUCCACACACAACUUCAUCAGUGAUCGCUUAGCAAACACACUACAUCUACCAGUGAAACCAACCAAGUCGUUCACUGUUCGGGUUGCUAAUGGCCAGCGUCUACAUUGCCAAGGACAAUUUGAUAAGGUACCCGUGAAUUUACAAGGCACUGAAUUUUAUCUCACACUCUUCUCUCUGCCAUUAUCAGGGCUUGAUCUAGUGUUGGGCAUCCAAUGGUUAGAAUUGUUGGGAUCAGUGGUUUGUAACUGGAAAGACUUAACUAUGGACUUCAUUUGGAAUAAUCAAGCUCGAAGGUUGCAAGGAGUGGGGAGCAAUCUAUUCAAGAGGCUACUUUAAAACAAGUCUCAAAAGAUUGUCGACAGCAACAGAUGUUAUUUGCAGUAUGUUUCCUUUCAACCACGAGGACAAAAUUCUGAAGGCAGACUAUGGCAAUCAAGACAUACAGCAGUGAUAAAGGAGUAUCAGGAUGUAUUCCAAGAACCCUCAUGCUUACCACCUGUGCGGAGGUGACCAUUGCAUUGCACUUAAGGAGGGCACUGAGCCGGUUAAUGUACGACCCUACGAUAUGCUCACUUUCAGAAAGAAGAAAUUGAAAAGCAAGUGCAGGAGAUGCUGAAAUCAGGACAUAUACGUACUAGCACCAGUCCUUUUUCUUCACCAGUGUACUCGUACGAAAAAAAUGGUAGUUGGAGAUUUUGCACGGAUUAUCGCGCACUAAAUAAUGCAACUAUCAAGGAUCGGUUCCCCAUUCCAACCGUGGAGGAUAUGCUUGACGAAUUAUAUGGAGCGGCAUAUUUUACGAAACUGGAUUUACGAGCUGGAUAUCACCAAGUAAGGGUCAAUCCUUCUGAUAUUUCUAAGACUGCUUUUCGUACUCAUAAUGGCCAUUAUGAAUACCUCGUUAUGCCUUUUGGCCUAUGUAAUGCACCUUCCACAUUUCAGGCCAUCAUGAACACUAUUUUUCGACCUCACCUUCGAAAAUUCAUUCUAGUUUUCUUCGAUGAUAUCCUUAUCUAUAGUACUACAUGGGACAAACAUGUGGAACACAUUGCACAAACUCUGCAGAUUUUAAGACAACAUCAGUUUUUUGCUAAAGCUAGCAAAUGUGUUAUCGGCCAACAAGAAUUGGAGUAUCUGGGGCAUAUCAUUACACCGCAAGGAGUGAAAGUUGAUGACCAAAAGAUUACAGCCAUGCUUGCAUGGCCUCGACCUACUAAUAUUUCUGAAUUGCGUGGUUUUUUAGGAUUAACAGGUUAUUACAGGAAGUUCGUCCAAAAUUACGGCAUCAUUGCUCGACCCCUUACCAAUCUAUUAAAGAAGGGGAAAUUUGGAUGGCAUGAUGAGGCAGAGGCAGCCUUCUCAGCUCUCAAGCAAGCCAUGACAACCACUCCCACUUUAGCCAUGCCUAAUUUCAAUGAUUCAUUCACAAUUGAAACAGAUGCUUCAGGAGAUGGUAUUGGUGCGGUUCUAACACAGCAAGGCAAACCCAUCGCCUACAUGAGUCGGGCACUGGGAGUCACAAAAAAAUCCUGGUCCACCUACGCCAGAGAAAUGCUUGCAAUUGUAGAAGCCAUCCGUUUAUGGCGUCCUUAUAUACUGGGAAGAAAAUUCUUCAUUGAAACCGACCAGCGUAGCUUGAAGUAUCUACUGGAUCAACGAAUAGCAACACCAGAACAGCAAAAGUGGGUAGCCAAACUACUGGGUUAUGACUAUGAAAUUCGUUAUCGUCCAGGCCGCGAAAACUCAGCUGCAGAUGCACUCUCCCGCAGGCCAAACAGCCCCACACUUCAUCAUUUGCACGUGGCCACCGUAACCUUGUGGGAUGAAAUCAAAGAAGCAUACAUUGGGAAUAAAUACAUUCAGUCAGUAGAGCGGGUAGCCAAGGCUCAACCCAAUGGACCAUAUUCACAACGCCAAGGAUUGUGGCUAUUCAAGCACAGAGUGAUAAUUCCUACAUGUGAACUGCUACGCACCAAGUUAUUGUAUGAAGCACACAAUACCAAGAUUGGCGGACACUCUGGAGUCUUACGAACAGUCAAACGACUAGCUCAUCAAUUUUACUGGCCUAAGAUGCAACAAGAUGUCCAAGAAUAUGUCCGACGCUGUGAAGUAUGCCAAAGAAUGAAAUCAGACACUCUUUCCCCUGCUGGACUCCUACAGCCUUUACCCGUUCCGUGUCAAGUUUGGGAUGAUAUUACUCUUGAUUUCGUUGAAGGAUUGCCAACCUCCCAUGGAAAAGAUACAAUCUUAGUAGUGGUUGACAGGUUAAGCAAAUUUGCCCAUUUCUUGCCCUUAUCCCAUCCAUUUACUACAAAAGGAGUAGCUGAAAGAUUUGUGGAAGGAAUUAUUAAGCUACAUGGCAUUCCUAAAUCAAUCAUUAGCGAUCGAGAUCCCAUCUUUAUCAGCCAAUUUUGGCAACAGUUAUUUCGCUUGUCAGGGACACAACUAAAACUCAGCUCUGCCUAUCAUCCACAAACAGACGGCCAAACCGAGGUGGUAAAUCGAUGUGUUGAACAAUAUCUUCGCUGCUUUGUUCAUCAAUGGCCGCGCAAGUGGAGCACCUAUAUUCCUUGGGCUGAGCUCUGGUAUAACACCACAUUCCAUGCCUCUACUAAAAUGACUCCAUUUCAGGCAUUGUAUGGUCGACUGCCUCCUCUCCUUCCCAAUUACCAGGGUGGUGAUGCGUCGGUGCAUGAGGUGGACAAGAAUCUCAUGUCUAGAGAUGAGUUACUAAGUCACCUAAAGACAAAUUUGGAGAAAUCCAGCAAUCGUAUGAAGCAGACAGCAGACAAAAAAAGAAGGGAGGUGACUUUUGCAGUAGGUGAUAUGGUGUUUCUCAAGUUACACCCCUAUCGACAACAAUCGGUUUUUAAACGUGUGCACCAAAAGCUUGCAAGUCGAUUUUACGGCCCUUAUCCAGUAGUUCAAAAAAUCGGCGCAGUUGCUUACAAACUUCAACUACCAGAGGGCAGUCGUAUUCACCCGGUCUUCCACGUCUCUCUACUCAAGAAAUAUGUGGGCGACCUAGUGGUGUCAUCUACAGAAUUACCACCAGUGAAUGAUGAAGGCCUAAUUAUACUGGAACCACAACAGAUUUUGGACACUCGCUGGGUCAAACAGGGAAACAAAUUUGAAGAGGAGAGCUUGAUUCAGUGGCAACGACUACCAGCAGAGGAGGCCACAUGGGAACUAACUAAGUCGUUGCUUGAGCAAUUUCCACACAUCAACCUUGAGGACAAGGUUUUGCUUGGUGGGGGAGGUAUUGAUAAGCCACGAUCUGAAGAAUCUCAAAGUCCACGUCAUUCUAAGAGGAUCCAUAAACCAAAUCCCAAAUAUCUGGGAUGAGCUGAUCGUGAGUUAAUGCAUGCAUAACGGAAGAAGCCAUUAAACAGGGGUCGUGGCUAUCAAGGAGUAAUGGAAGGAGGGGUUACACCCGUUAUAUCACCAUUUAUGGUCAUCAGUUAUAUCUUAAUUAAUUCCAAGUUAUUAGUAGCUUUAUUGUUCCCUUUGUAUUUCAGUUUUAUUUGUAAUUCACUUUGGCUAUUUAAGCAGCUAAAGUUUUAAUAAGAAAAGAUAUAUAAUUUCAGUAAAAAAGUGUGGUUUAGUUCUCACCCGAAGAGAACCUUUAUAAUAUUGUGAUGGGACCUAACAUUGGUAUCAGAGCACGUUAUGGGAACCAACAAGGAGCGUAUUGAGCACCUGGAAUCUGGACUUGGGAUAGUUCAAGAUGGUCUUCAGAGAAUGGAGUUGGGAGUGAAUGAUAAACUCCAACAUUUGGAAGACACUCUUACUCGACUUGCCAAUAUGUUGAGGGCAAAUCUACGAGAGAAACAAAAUGUACGAGAGAACACAACCCCAUCAUUGAAGCUGCUAUUUAUAUAUAUAUAUAUAGACAUGAUCUAAUGCUAGCAAGCUGCGAAUCAUAUAUUUUAAGCAGCACACAUUGAGAAAUGAUUUCAGUCUCAUCUUGCCUUUGGGUCAAUUAUUUCAGAAAACACACCCCUUGCUCUUUGAUCUGGAUCACUUUGGGUGACACUUUCACGAGUGCUAACAGUGCUCCUUGAAUGUGACUCCGCUCCACUAAACAUGUCAUCGUCAUCAGUGGUCAUGGCAUCUCGAUGUGGUGAAAAUGAGCUUUUAUUUUCCAUAUUGAUCCCUUCUACACUGUUGGCAUUUUUCUCAGCAGAUUGUUGAAGCUGCAAUGCAAAUUCAAGGCCCCAAACGACAUCACCCAUUUUAGGGCGUUCAAUUCCUUGACCAUGUAAGCAACUGUUAGCAAUCUCUGCGAACUUAUUUAAAGAGACGGGGGCAACCUCGCCCUUUAAAUGUGGAUCCACGAUCUGAUCAAGGGUUCCUCUUUGGUAACAUUUUCGUGCCCAGUCAGCUAAGCUUGCUUGAUCUUUCGGUGAACUUGGAAUCACUGGUGGCCUUGCACAUAGCACCUCAAACAAAACCACACCGAAUGAAUAAACAUCAGAUUUUCUGUCAGGUGUUGCCUACGGUAGUACUCUGGAUCCACAUAUCCAAUGCUACCUCUAACUACAGUGCUAACAUGGGUUUGGGAUGUACUAGUGGGACCCAAUCUGGACAGCCCAAAAUCUGAAACCUUAGCCACCCAAUUCUCAUCUAACAAUAUGUUUGUUGACUUCACAUCACGGUGAAUGAUUGUGUGCUUUGCUCCUGAAUGAAGAUAAUGCAACCCUUUUGCAGCACCGAUGCAUAUUUCUAGCCUUUGCUUCCAUGGAAGAGGAGAGUUCUUUGUUUUGUAUAGAUGUUCUCUAAGAGUGCCUCUUGACAUGUAAUCGUAUACAAGGAUCAUCUCGCCAUGAUCAUCACAGUAUCCAAUCAGCGACACUAGAUGGAGGUGGCGCAGAUUGGAUAACAUCU
rnacentral:lncRNA from 1 species